rnacentral:tRNA from 1 species
GGCGGAAUAGCUCAGUAGGCUAGAGCGUUUGUACUUCAGGACUCUGGCAGGACUCCAGAGGUCACUGGUUCGAAACCUGCUCCGGGCA